AUGCCUUUCGGCCUCACCAACGCACCGGCUACUUUUCAGUGUGUCAUGAACUCAAUAUUUGCCCCAUUCCUACGCAAGUUUGUGAUAGUGUUUUCGGACGAUAUACUGGUAUACAGUGCUUCAUGGACCCUGCAUUUGCAACACCCGCGCCUUGUGCUAGAAACACUGCGGAAGUCACAAUUCUUUGCCAAACUGACCAAAUGUUCCUUCGGCCAACAAAGCAUUCAGUACCUUGGCCAUAUUAUCUCUUCUGAGGGUGUGGCUACUGAUCCUGAGAAGACAACAACAAUGGAACAAUGGCCAUUACCAACAACAGCGACUGAACUGCAUGGUUUCCUCGGCCUGACAGGAUACUAUCGAAUAUUCGUGCAGAAUUAUGGCUUAAUUUCCAAGCCGCUGACCCAGUUACUCACCAAAAAGGGUUUUGAGUGGAAUGACCAAGCGACUGAGGCCUUUAUGACAUUGAAAUCUGUGAUGGCUCGUACCCCUGUUCUCGCCCUUCCGGAUUUCUCUGUACCUUUCGCCGUCGAGACAGAUGCCUAUGACACAGGUGUGGGGGCAGUACUGAUGCAACGGGGUCACCCUAUUGCAUACAUGAGCAAAGCCCUGGGUGUUAUGAAUCGCAAGUUAUCAAUCUACGAGAAAGAAUUCCUCGCAGUGAUCAUGGGGAUCGACAAAUGGUGUCAGUACCUACAGCGAGGUCCAUUCACCAUCUUGACAGACCAUAAGAGCCUUUGCAAUCUCACUGAUCAGCAACUCACGUCCAAUUUGCAACGCAAAGCUAUGGCAAAAUUAAUUGGUUUGCAAUUUCAGUUCAAGUACAAGCGUGGCAUGGAUAAUGGGGCUAUAGAUUCUCUGUCCCGUGUCGCUCAUCGGUUUGAAACCCAAACCCUUUCAGUUUGCCGGCCAGACUGGGUACAAGAGGUUUUGAAUUCGUACCACACUGAUACUGAAAUGAUGACACUGUUGCAGCAACUAGCCAUUCAUUCUCCUGAUGACAAGAGCUAUGCACUAGAACACGGGUUAAUCAAGUACAAGGGCAGGCUGGUUAUCGGUGAAAAUUUGGCACUACAAACUAAAUUGGUAGCUUCUCUGCAUGACAGUGCUGUGGGCGGACAUUCUGGUAUUCAAGCAACGUAUCCGCGCGCUAAGAAACUCUAUUACUGGCCAGGCAUGAAAUUGGCCGUGGAGCUAUUUGUGAAGCAAUGCCCAAUCUAUCAACACGCUAAGCAUCCACACACUAGACCUGUUGGGCUUCUGCAGCCUUUGCCACCUCCCCAAGCUCCAUGGCAAGAAAUCACAAUGGAUUUUGUGGAAGGUUUGCCAAUGUCUGAUGGUGCCAAUGUGAUUUUGGUCGUCGUUGACCGUCUGACCAAGUAUGCAUAUUUUUUGCCCUUAAUUACAUCAUCCUUACACAACGACUACUGUUUCCAAGCUGUUUAUGGAUCAGAUUGUUCGUUUACAUGGAGUACCAUUGUCAAUCAUUUCGGACCGUGA
rnacentral:rRNA from 1 species